GUGCAAGGAGCAAGAAACAAAAAUAACAAAGAAAAUCUGUGACAGAUGAACUGUUCAUUGCUGGAAUGUUCCAUAGUCCGCUGCUUCGCGGGGGACCUGUGCUGUGCAUGAUGUAGUACCGUCCUCCACCUCAGAAGGGAAAAGCUGGACGAAGAUGAGGAGGAGGGCGACCCUGUAAGAGGACCGACCAGCAGUCUCAAUUAACCUGGGCCCCUGAGAUCUCUCAGACACUGGAUCACUAACCAGGCAGCAUAAGCCAGCUGAGAUGAGGCUUCCGACACAUAUACAGCAGAGGACUCCUGGAUCUGGGUUCAGUCAGAGAAGAUGCGACUACCCCUCAAGAUACUAAGUUUAGAGUUUCCGGGCCGUCUUCUAUGGAUAAUUACUUCUGGGAAGCAGAGUCAGAGAAUCUGAACUUAAUUUUACCCUGUGAGAGAAAUGUAGACUGAACACAAAGUGGCCACAGUUGUGUUAAAAGGAUCAGACUUCAACACCCACUCAGCUUCUGACUGAAUUGCUCUGCUAAAAAAAAAAAAAAAAAAAAAAAAAAAAAAAACUGCCUCUGACCUCCUCAAAAUGACCUCCACUGACCUCACUGAUUGCACUAACUGGACAGAACUGAAUGAAACAGAACAAAAUGGAAAAGAAAAGAACUUCACAAACUCAACUCUACUUAAUUGAAAUAAAUUCAUUUUUGACUCACUCUGUGCUGCUCUCAAUUACUCUCUCCUGUACUGUUCUCCUCAAGGUUGACUGAUUCUGCCAAAUCUUUCUCUGAUUCAUCACUUUGUCUUCCCUUUAAUUAGAAGUCACUUUCAAACAUGGCUCUUUCCUUCUAAAACCAACUUUACCAUCAUUUUUCAGGAUUAAAUGUGUGUCCUAAGGGCUGUCUGUAUUCCAAUUAAAGGGAUUAAAGGUA